ACCAAUUUUGAUUCAGGCAAUGGUGAAGAUGCUGCUGCAGAUGAUGACUCCUGGUGUGAUGCUUCAGAUUCUCCAGGGCAUGAUUCCAGCUUACACAGAGAAUGGACCCACAGGCAGGACCAGUUUCAUAAGAUGGGCUAUAGGGAUGGUAUAACAGAAGGGCAGAAGGAUGUUGCCCAAGAGGGGUUCAACCUUGGGCAUAGGCAAUCUGCGCAUGUUGGAUACAAGUGGGGUCUCGUUCGGGGGAUCACUAGUGCAUUAGCUAGUCUUCCUGACAGUCUAAAAGAAAAGUUGAUGCGCGAUGCCCAGCGUAGAGGAAAACUUGAAGAUUUGCACAACUUCGUGCUAGAAAUUUCAGCACAGGGUGCGCUGCAACUGUUUCACGAGAGUACACUUCAGGAUAAUCGUCGACCAGAGGAAAGCAUGCUCCAAACAAUUACAAAGGACCUUCUACUGUUGUUGCAUGAAUGCCCAGAUGUUCAUGUUAGUGAAGAGUUGAAACGAGUUCCAUAA
rnacentral:rRNA from 1 species